AUGAGGUGUAGUCAGACCAUUCUACAGUUGCAGAAUGAUAAUGAGGUGUAAUCAGACCAUUCUACAGAAUUACAGAAUUAGGAUGUGUAAUCAGACCAUUCUACAGAGUUACAGAAUGAUAAUGAGGUGCAAUCAGACCAUUCUACAGAGCUACAGAAUGAUAAUGAGGUGUAGUCAGACCAUUCUACAGAGUUACAGAAUGAUAAUGAGGUGUAAUCAGACCAUUCUACAGAGUUACAGAAUGCUCUGUCACUGUGUGAGAUGAAGAUUUUUGUGGGUAAAAUAGUGAAAUAAUAUUGAGCAUUAUAGGUUCCCUUUAAUACUGAAACAGUUUAUUAAGCUAAUUAAAACAAGAAAACAAUGUUUAUGUCUCAUUUUAUCAGAAUUAUUUUUUUAAAACUACUAAAAAUAAGGAGCAGGCUAACAGAAUAACUUACUUAGUAGCUCGUUUUUUGUUUUUUUUUUGUUUUUUUUUUUUAAAAAAAAGCUGAAAUAUCACUGCUGUAAGUUUUAUUUUCCAUCGUGUGAAUGUGGACUGACUUUAAACUGACCAGUAGGAGCUGUUGUUUUUGUUGAGUGGUGAGCUGAUGAUGUCAUUUCCUGUAGCUGAGAAGGCGUCCCGUGACGUUGAACCUCCUGCAUGAAGCUUCACUCACAUGUUGAGCAGCUCAGACAGCUGUGGAGCGUGUAGAUAGAAACCUGAUAUUUACCUGGUUCUGUGGUAUUCACGUGUAUUUCUGUACUAUAGUCUGAGUAGUGUAAAUACUCUGUACUGCACAUUGUGUACUUUCAUAUAGUGUGGUAUUCUGCACACAGCUGCAUGAACAUUACCCAUCAGCCUCAUGUUGUAUCUCCAUGUAGAGUUCAUCAUUA
ensembl:lncRNA